rnacentral:tRNA from 1 species
AAGGAUUUAAGUUAAGCGAAACUGUUAGCCUUCAAAGCUAAGAAUAGGGGGUAACCUAAGCCUUA